CAGUCGAGCGGACUUGUUAGAAGCUUGCUUCUAACAAGUUAGCGGCGGACGGGUGAGUAACACGUGGGUAACCUGCCUGUAAGAUGGGGAUAACUCCGGGAAACCGGAGCUAAUACCGAAUAACACUUUCGCUCGCAUGAGCGGAUGUUAAAAGACGGUUUCGGCUGUCACUUACAGAUGGACCCGCGGCGCAUUAGCUAGUUGGUGAGGUAACGGCUCACCAAGGCGACGAUGCGUAGCCGACCUGAGAGGGUGAUCGGCCACACUGGGACUGAGACACGGCCCAGACUCCUACGGGAGGCAGCAGUAGGGAAUCUUCCGCAAUGGACGAAAGUCUGACGGAGCAACGCCGCGUGAGUGAUGAAGGUUUUCGGAUCGUAAAACUCUGUUGUUAGGGAAGAACAAGUAUGAGAGUAACUGCUCGUACCUUGACGGUACCUAACCAGAAAGCCACGGCUAACUACGUGCCAGCAGCCGCGGUAAUACGUAGGUGGCAAGCGUUGUCCGGAAUUAUUGGGCGUAAAGCGCGCGCAGGCGGUUCCUUAAGUCUGAUGUGAAAGCCCACGGCUCAACCGUGGAGGGUCAUUGGAAACUGGGGAACUUGAGUGCAGAAGAGGAAAGCGGAAUUCCACGUGUAGCGGUGAAAUGCGUAGAGAUGUGGAGGAACACCAGUGGCGAAGGCGGCUUUCUGGUCUGUAACUGACGCUGAGGCGCGA
rnacentral:rRNA from 2 species